CCUACGGGAGGCAGCAGUGGGGAAUAUUGGGCAAUGGGCGAAAGCCUGACCCAGCAACGCCGCGUGAGGGAAGAAGGCUUUCGGGUUGUAAACUUCUUUUCUCAGGGACGAAGAAAGCGACGGUACCUGAGGAAUAAGCGACGGCGAACUACGUGCCAGCAGCCGCGGUAAUACGUAGGUGGCAAGCGUUAUCCGGAUUUAUUGGUGGUAAAGGUGGUGUAGGCGGGAGCGCAAGUCAGAAGUGAAAACUCAGGGCUCAACCCUGGGCCUGCCUUUGAAACUGUGUUUCUUGAGUGCUGGAGAGGCAAUCGGAAUUCCGUGUGUAGCGGUGAAAUGCGUAGAUAUAAGGAGGAACACCAGUGGCGAAGGCGGAUUAUUGGACAGUAACUGACGCUGAGGCGCGAAAGCGUGGGGAGCAAACAGGAUUAGAUACCCUUGUAGUC
rnacentral:rRNA from 1 species